CCUACGGGAGGCAGCAGUGGGGAAUAUUGCACAAUGGGGGAAACCCUGAUGCAGCGACGCCGCGUGAGCGAAGAAGUAUUUCGGUAUGUAAAGCUCUAUCAGCAGGGAAGAAAAUGACGGUACCUGAUUAAGAAGCCCCGGCUAACUACGUGCCAGCAGCCGCGGUAAUACGUAGGGGGCAAGCGUUAUCCGGAUUUACUGGGUGUAAAGGGAGCGUAGACGGCAGCACAAGUCUGGAGUGAAAUGCCGGGGCUUAACCCCGGAACUGCUUUGGAAACUGUGCAGCUGGAGUGCAGGAGAGGUAAGUGGAAUUCCUAGUGUAGCGGUGAAAUGCGUAGAUAUUAGGAGGAACACCAGUGGCGAAGGCGGCUUACUGGACUGUAACUGACGUUGAGGCUCGAAAGCGUGGGGAGCAAACAGGAUUAGAUACCCCAGUAGUC
rnacentral:rRNA from 1 species